AGCUGGUCUGAGAGGAUGAUCAGCCACACUGGGACUGAGACACGGGCCCAGACUCCUACGGGAGGCAGCAGUGGGGAAUAUUGGACAAUGGGCGCAAGCCUGAUCCAGCCAUGCCGCGUGAGUGAUGAAGGCCCUAGGGUUGUAAAGCUCUUUCAGUGGGGAAGAUAAUGACGGUACCCACAGAAGAAGCCCCGGCUAACUUCGUGCCAGCAGCCGCGGUAAUACGAAGGGGGCUAGCGUUGUUCGGAUUUACUGGGCGUAAAGCGCACGUAGGCGGAUCGUUAAGUCGGGGGUGAAAUCCUGGGGCUCAACCCCAGAACUGCCUUCGAUACCGGCGAUCUCGAGUCCGGAAGAGGUGAGUGGAACUCCUAGUGUAGAGGUGGAAUUCGUAGAUAUUAGGAAGAACACCAGUGGCGAAGGCGGCUCACUGGUCCGGUACUGACGCUGAUGUGCGAAAGCGUGGGGAGCAAACAGGAUUAGAUACCCUGGUAGUCCACGCCGUAAACUAUGAGAGCUAGCCGUUGGAGGGUUUACCCUUCAGUGGCGCAGCUAACGCAUUAAGCUCUCCGCCUGGGGAGUACGGUCGCAAGAUUAAAACUCAAAGGAAUUGACG
rnacentral:rRNA from 1 species